ensembl:lncRNA
AUACUGCAGGGGCCAGGCUGGGAAGUGGCGCCGCCGCCCCCCCAGCGCAGCCCCCCCCCUUGUUUCGUCCCCAGAUGUCGGCCAUGAGCCACGGGAGCGGCCGAGGCGAUGCCCGGGACGCUGCCAGGGUCGCGCAGGCCCCGCCCGGCCGCGUCAAGCGCCGCAGGACCAGGGGCGAGCGCAACCGCGCCAAGUUCGGCAGAUGCCUCCCCAGCAGCACCAGGCGGCAGGGGCCGAGGCCCCCCUGGGGGGGCGUCCCCCCACUCCGGGCUGCACCCCCCCAGCCCAGCCCCCUGCCCCCCCCCCGGCCCGUCAUCAUCACCCAGCAGCGCCUCAGCCGCCCCCGGGGCCUCCUCGGCCGGGGGGUGACAUCGGGGGACAUCCAGCGGCUGCUGGGGGGCGGGCAGGGGGCGGGCCCCCCCCCGGCCGAGGGGCUGGGAUGGCCGGCAGGCAGCCCCCUCCCCGCGCAGGGGCUGGGGAGGGACGGGCGGGCGUCGCCCCCCCAGCCACAAGUCCCUCGGGGGCCGGGGAGGGAGGACGGGGGCUCCCCCCCCCGCACCGGGACGCCCCCCCAGGAGGUGGCCGGCCGCCUGCGGGCCCUCCUGCCGGCCCCGGCCGAGCUGUGGGGCCGCGCCCUGGCGGAGGAGCGGCGCCGCGCCGUGCUCGCAGCCCUGCUGGAGCGCCACUGCGCCCUGCCCGACCUGGCCGCCCUCCUGCCCCGCCGGGGCGUGGGGGCUGCGGGGGGCCUCUCCCACGGGCUGCCCCCUCCUGGGCCGCCCCCUGCCUCCCCCCCCUCGCCGGGGCUCAGCACCCCUGAAAUGGGGCCGCUUCCCCAGGCGGUGCGGAGCAAGGACCCUGCAGCCCAUCGCAGCCACCCCCCUGCACCUCUGCAGGCCGUCACUCAGGCACAAACCUCCCCUUCCUUGUUCCCUCCCCCUGACUUCAGCCCUGAGACAAUGAAGAGGCAGAGCUGUUUCCCCUGGAUGAUGGAGGAUGAAGACGAGGCACACUCUGAAAAACCCGCCAUGCAAUUCUGCGUCCGGACCCCCUCACCACCACUGUUCAGGGCCCGCCACCCUGCACCCUCCCCUGCCUCCUACCUACCCGCAGGGCGCUGCACUCCCGAACCUGAGCUGCUGCCCCAGCCAACUACGAGCAGGAACCCAGCACCCCAGCACCGCUGGCGCCGUGUCUCCCCACAAGCUGUCGAUCAGACUCCAAGCCCCCCUGCUGUUCCUCUGCCCCCUGUUUUCGGUGCCAAGAGGAAGGAGAGGCAGAGCUGGCUCCCCUGGAUGUCGGAAGAUGAGGAUGACACACACCCUGAAGACCCAGCCCCACUGUUCUGUGCCCGGACACCAUCUCCACCACUAUUUGAGGGGCUUCCCCAGCCCCACAUCCCCCUGGGGGAGCCAGGCUGCACAUGCAGGGCAGCAUGGGGCCCCAGGGUAGAGGACAAAGCAGAAGGGCAUGGCCAGAUCUACUGGCGGUCCCGUGUGCCACAGCAUCGCCGGGUGUUAGAGCAUCCCAUGUCAGGGACACACGCCCCACACCACCCCUGCUGGUGCCACAGGGACCAGCGGACACCCCCUACUUUGUACCGGGGCACAUGCCCCUGUGCCCCCUCCCCAUCACACCACCCCUGCAAGCACAGCCCUUGUCCCCACAGCAGGCCUCGGCAUGCCACGAGCUUCCCCACGUGCCGCUGCUCACCCCCUGAAAGCCACCGGCCACGGGGCUGGAGGGGGCCGCUGGAGCCACGGCAAAGGGGGUGGCACCUUUCCUUCUGCCCCCAUGCCACAGUUCCCCACAAUGCACGGGAAAGGGACUCUAGCCCCAAUGUCUGGCUCUUCCCCUGCCUGUACUGAGGGACAUGGGAAGGCAUACUUUAUUGGAGUAACCUCCCUGUGCUCAAUAAAGGCUGUUACACCUUUAUGUGGCUGUGUCCC